rnacentral:tRNA from 1 species
GGGAAUGUGGCUUAGUGGUAGAGUGCUUUCCUAGUAUGGAUGAAGCCAUGGGUUCUAUCCUUCAGUACCA